CCUACGGGUGGCAGCAGUGGGGAAUAUUGCACAAUGGGGGAAACCCUGAUGCAGCGACGCCGCGUGAGUGAAGAAGUAUUUCGGUAUGUAAAGCUCUAUCAGCAGGGAAGAAGCAAGACGGUACCUGACUAAGAAGCCCCGGCUAACUACGUGCCAGCAGCCGCGGUAAUACGUAGGGGGCAAGCGGUUUGGAUUUACUGGGUGUAAAGGGAGCGUAGACGGUAUGGCAAGUCUGCAGUGAAAGCCCAGGGCUGAACCCUGGGACUGCUUUGGAAACUGUUAGACUAGAGUGCUGGAGAGGUAAGUGGAAUUCCUAGUGUAGCGGGGAAAUGCGUAGAUAUUAGGAGGAACACCAGUGGCGAAGGCGGCUUACUGGACAGUAACUGACGUUGAGGCUCGAAAGCGUGGGGAGCAAACAGGAUUAGAUACCCUGGUAGUC
rnacentral:rRNA from 1 species